rfam:Pacificibacter marinus strain CECT 7971 genome assembly, contig: 0003
GGGCACCUACGGGGGCCUACACACAGACCUUCAGGGCAACCUGAACAUAAGGUCACAAAGCAAACGGAAGACAGAAA